rnacentral:rRNA from 1 species
UACGGAGGGGGCUAGCGUUGUUCGGAAUUACUGGGCGUAAAGCGCACGUAGGCGGCUUUGCAAGUUAGAGGUGAAAUCCUGGAGCUCAACUCCAGAACUGCCUUCGAUACUGGAGAGCUUGAGUCCGGGAGAGGUGAGUGGAACUGCGAGUGUAGAGGUGAAAUUCGUAGAUAUUCGCAAGAACACCAGUGGCGAAGGCGGCUCACUGGCCCGGUACUGACGCUGAGGUGCGAAAGCGUGGGGAGCAAACAGG